AGAGUUUGAUCCUGGCUCAGGAUGAACGCUGGCGGCGUGCCUAACACAUGCAAGUCGAGCGAAGCGCUUUAGUAAGAUUUCUUCGGAAUGACGACUUUAGUGACUGAGCGGCGGACGGGUGAGUAACGCGUGGGCAACCUGCCUCGCACAGGGGGAUAACAGUUAGAAAUGACUGCUAAUACCGCAUAAGACCACAGCUUCGCAUGGAGCGGUGGUAAAAACUCCGGUGGUGCGAGAUGGGCCCGCGUCUGAUUAGCUAGUUGGUGAGGUAACGGCUCACCAAGGCGACGAUCAGUAGCCGACCUGAGAGGGUGACCGGCCACAUUGGGACUGAGACACGGCCCAGACUCCUACGGGAGGCAGCAGUGGGGAAUAUUGCACAAUGGGGGAAACCCUGAUGCAGCGACGCCGCGUGAAGGAUGAAGUAUUUCGGUAUGUAAACUUCUAUCAGCAGGGAAGAAAGUGACGGUACCUGACUAAGAAGCCCCGGCUAACUACGUGCCAGCAGCCGCGGU
rnacentral:rRNA from 1 species